CUCUCUUAAUCCAAUAAGACUGGCGCCCCGAGAGCAAUGCUCGACCAGGGACCUUACCUCCAGUCUGGUCACUUAGAUAUCCAAAUAAGAAAUCUAGUAGCCAUUCGGCUCUCUUAAUCCAAUAAGACUGGCGCCCCGAGAGCAAUGCUCGACCAGGGACCUUACCUCCAGUCUGGUCACUUAAGUAUCCAAAUAAGAAAUCUAGUAGCCAUUCGGCUCUCUUAAUCCAAUAAGACUGGCGCCCCGAGAGCAAUGCUCGACCAGGGACCUUACCUCCAGUCUGGUCACUUAAGUAUCCAAAUAAGCCGGCGCCCCGAGAGCAAUGCUCGACCAGGGACCUUACCUCCGGCAAUUUACACAAAUCAGCCCAGAGAGCCAUGCUCGACCAGGGCAAACCCAUAAAUAUCUUAUUACAUGUCCAUGAUUAUUACCGGUGUGCACGCGGUCCUGAUGUAACCCAUCAGGCGGCAUGUUCUACAAGCCACAUUUCCCAAUUCGCAAUCAUCACAUAUAAUAAAUAUCAUUAUCUGCUGAACUCAUCCAACACAUAUCGAAAUAAAGAUUAAAGAUUUAAGAUAAAAUAACGUGCAAUUUGUGAG
rnacentral:lncRNA from 1 species